ensembl:lncRNA
UAUAUAUAUAUAUAUAUUCUGCAUAAUCACACAGACAUAUAUAUUUAAAUGCAGAAUAUAAAGAUAUAUCCAAACACUUAGUAUUAAUGGCAUUUAUCUCCUCAUCUUUAUUUUAUACCACCCACUUCUCAUGUUGAAAAAUAUCAGUUUUAUUGGUUUGUUUUUUGUUUGUGUUUAUUUUUGUAAUCCUAGAAACCAUGUGCGUUUCUUUCAAAAAAAAGGAGGUGAUGUCAGUGUCUUGGCCUGAUUCACUCACCAAUGUUUAAUUUCUUUCCCUGAGUGGAUCCUGUGCCGAUGAGGAGAUGCUAUUUUUAAACCUUGUUGAGAUUCUUCAUUAUCAUUAACUUGUAGACAUUAGUAUUAUUUUGAUUUUUUUAGCAACUGUGGAAUUAUGAACUGGUCUACAGAAUAUUUAAUCAAUCAAAAAUGUAAUUUGUAAUUUUUCUUUUUGCUAAAUCAGCCCUACUUGACAUACUGUACCUAUAUGACUAUGUGCAGACUAUGAACCUCACAGUUUUUAAGAACAUCCUCCAUGUUUUUUCUCAUUUUUUACUUUUGUUAAUCAUUUUCUGACAUAAUGUGGUCUUUCAUUUUGUUAAAUAUCGACUAUGAUCUAGAAUAUACCUGUAAAUAAAACAAAUAUAUAGAUUAUAUGUAUUUGUAUCAAUUGACCCUCAAAAUCUUGGAGGUUCUGCUCAUCACGACUUCCUGGUGUUUGUAAAGCCUGUUUUCGCUCCUUUUGAAAUGUUCUUUCUCCAACCCUGCUCUCUGGUCUUUAAUUACCACUCACUUUUUUUUUUUUUACUUCCUUUAAUUUCCCCUGCUAGCUGUUAACAAGCCAGCUCUUGUUUUCACACCUAUAGCCUCAAUGAGGGCGUGAAGUCAGCAUCAGAGAUCUGCUGGUAUCAUUUAGCUGAGGAUGGGAAGUUAGUUCACUCACUAACCAUUUAAAUUGUUAAUGAACCAUCAAUUCAAGGUCCUGUCACAUCCUCAUGCUCAAUGUGGACAGGAACCUUUCCCUGCCCCCCGCAUUAGCAAGGGUAUACAAGAGAUAAUACAGAGGUUUGUCUUUCACACCAUGGAACUUCAGAAACUUGAGAGGUUUUCAAAAUGUAUUCUGUUUAAAUGAAUAUACCUCCUAAUCUCAAAUUUGAACAAUAUAGGGAUUUCAAAGGUAGAGAUGUCCACUAAAGGAAGAAAAAAACAGUAGCACCCAAAGGUGAGUUUCAUUCCUUUUAAAGGUUUUCUACAAAGCCUCAGUAAAUCCGCUGCUGUCCAGGGGCCUAAAACGCCAUGGUUUACUACACAAAUAAAUCAUUCUCUUAUGGACAAAUGCAGCUAUGCUAAAGGCUCAGUUGCAACAUGCCAUGUUGAUUGAUUUUCUCCCUAGAGCAGUUUGAAACCAUGUGUUUUUGUUCAGCCAUGUUUUGCUGUGGGAUGCAGAAAGAAGUCAGGACUCAAUGAAACAGAGCAGUGCAAUGCAACCAACGGAAGACUAAGACAACCAAAAACUUCACACUUCCAGCAUGUCAUUUCUGAACAGUGGGAAAACCUUGAGAUGCUUCUUCGUGAGCUAAAAUCCUGGACUGAAGCCUUUUGGAACUAAAAAAAAAGACUGGUAAAAAUGGCCCCAAUGCCAAAACUGAAACCAUGGAAGCUUGUGCACCGUGUUACUCUACUUUUGACUUCAUGUAAAGAUCCGAGCCUUUUGAAAACAGUCAAAGAAUAUUUGGGGGGAAAAGUUGGAGGGACUAACAAAAAAACAAAACUAACAAAGUUCCAUCGACAAGAAUAGAGCAUAUACAGUACAUACAGGCAAUGAAAUUAAUCAAAUGAAGCCAAUCUCAGCAAAUUAGUUUUUUCCUUUGUAUAAGGGCCAAGUGCUAUCACUUUCAAACUGUUACUUCAAACUGAAACAAUAAUUGGUUCAAAGCCACUGUGUAUGUAGAUAUGUUGACUUUGUAUUAAAGAAAUGUUGUCUGAAUAACGUUUUACCUGUGAUUUUUUGGCUUAUAAAGUAUGUUAUGAGUUGACGGGAUUAUUCAAGAUACAUUUUAUACAUAUCCUGAUCUGUGUAUAAUACGUAAACAGCUGGCAGCAGUGCUUCCAUAGCGUUCCAUGAGCACUUACUUGGUCCAUCAUUCAUUGCACUUGAGCCUGUGCUACGGCCUCUCGCAGGACAAGCGAUGAAGCACACGGGUGGUGCCCUCCUUUGUUGAUAGAUGGCUUGAUUAGCUUCCUUCUAUAUUUAUCCACCAGCCUUUUUGCAAACAAAUCCCAAUGGGUCCCUAAUCCCCUCUUCAAGCUUGACAAAUUUCACCAAGACGGCCAAUAUUGGUGUCGAGCUAAAGCUUCACCUACUUGCUCUCUCUCCCUCACAUCCAUCUUCAGGUAUUUCAUAACCUAAAAUUAAAAAGUUCGCAAAGUAAAAAUAACUGUACCAAAUCUUGCUGUGUCUUUCUAGCAUUCGAGAUGACAUGGCUACGAAUCACAGAGUUGAAAUACUGCUGGUAUCCACACAAUACUGGGUAUGUACUUACAGCGAAACUGCACAGGGCUGGAAGGAAGUGAGGGAAUAAGGGGGGGACCACUUUCGAUAUUCUUUCAAUUAUCAUAUGUUAACCUAUUUUUUGAAAAGCAUGCUUGAGGUGCGUUAGUCUGUGCACACUAAGUUGAAGACAGCGCUUUGGAAAUGUGUGAGAAAACAUUAUUACUUAUUAAUUACAAUGCAUAUAAAGUCCCAGAUGUAUUAAUUUGCACUUCUCCUCAGCAUUUCUUCACAUAUACUUACUAUUAUCCUAACACUUUAAUAGAGAAUCUCGUGGUGGUUUGUUGGAAUAUUUCAAGUCAAGUCUCUCCUAACUACUCACUGUUCAUUGCCAUCCGAUUCACACGCGCAUCAUUAGCUGACGGGUUGCCAACGAGCUCUUUGUCACCUGAGACCGCAAAUCUGCCACAUCGCAAGAGGAAUGUCCUUUAUUAAAGGCUAAUAUAAGCAAAAUGACACCCUGUUUCAAGGAUGAUGUCACUAAUUGUCUUGCUCAGAAAGCUGGUUCCGUCCAUUCUUUUCUAAUAGGGGCGAACCAACAGGCCGAGCGUGAGGGCAGGCGGAGAAGUGAAUUAGGGCGCUGAUUAUGCAGUGAUUCAGACAGCAGCUCAUUAGGACCCAGCUAAGCAAGCAAUCAACGAAUCAAUGUGACAGUGGACCCAAAAGCCACAGAAAUUUGUAAUAAAUGGCGAGGCGAUAAAUUGGAUUAUCCAUUGCCCCGUGGCCAAGCUCUUUCUGUUGCAUAUGACAAAUCCAUUCAAUCAUACCAAGCAAAAUGACGAAAGAACCGUAAAAAGGCGCCUGGAGUUGCUCCGGACGUGGAGGUUAUCGCUCUGAAAUGUGCCUUGUUAAGGUUCUGGUUCUCUCGAGGUCAUUUCCAUAUGAUAUUUAGGGCUCUAAAAUAUUCAUGAGACACCAUUAGGUGUUUACGACCGCCUUUUAUAAUAAGAGAUUUACUGACGUUUGAACUCCAGCCAGAGUAGUAAAGGUGUCCGAGUCGUGCCGGGCCACGUGCCUACUGAAUCACAGGGGGAGUAGCAACUCAACAUUGAGAUGUUGAUGAUGUGAAGGAGCAAAGAAGGAGGGAUUAUAAAUAUAAUUCAGAGACAGCAUUGUUCUCUUUUAGCCUGAUGGUAUCAAGACAUGGCUUCAUUUCAUCUACGUGCAUCUUUUUCACUGAACGGUAAUAGAGGACAUGGUGAAAACAUUUUUUUGAUAGAUAGAUUGAUCGAGCAAUAGAAGAUAGAUAAAUAAAAAACAUAGAAAGAUGGAUAGAUAUCUUAACCUAGAUAAGUAGGUAGGUAAGUGAUGGAUUUAAAAAAUAAAUCGCUGAAAAUGAGUUCUGCAUUUAUCCUGUUGAAACUGUAAGGCGGAAUACGUAUGGCUGAAUACUGCCCCCCCCCGAAGAAAACUGUUUUAAAAAAAGCGUUGCUGCCAUCUGUGGGAUAUCCUACGGUAUUUCAGCAUCACACUGAAGACCAAUUUCUGUUGAAUCAGAAAUCAACCUAAUCUAUUGUCUUCUCCAGACUUCACGCAUCAAUGGGAGACAUGGUUUGUAACUUAUUUAUACAUCUUACACAAAUGUAAUCUGUGCAUUUAGACAAAUAGUUGUGGUUUGGACAGAAACGGCAUUGAUACUGAGCGUGCAUCCCCCCCCCCCUGCAGUCUGAGCAUCUGCCAGCUGUAAACAGUGACAUGACUCCUGUUUACGCUCUUACGCUGUUAUUUCCUAUAAUCGGUUUUAUGUUCCCCUCCAUCCUUUCAGUCUCUCUAUUUCCAUCCGCAGCUCUAGAAGAAGGCCCAUGCUCUCUCUGCCUCCCUUUCUUUAUUGCUCUUUUCAAUCACUUCCCUCAUCCACCAUUUCUAUUUAUUUUCUCUCUGUCACCGUUAUUCCUCGUCCCCCCUCCACUCCUCUGUGUACAUCUGACAGGGGCCUUGUUCAAGGGAUGGCUCUGCUGAUUGAUCGGUCCAAUGCUGGUCAAAUAGAGUGAAAUAUUACAUUGUUGUUGUUGUUUUAAUGCUGUGUUAGAAAAAGCAGGCUUUCAUUUUAAAAGGCUUUGGCAGGAAGAAUGUUCUGAAAGAUGGUAGUUCCAGAAGGAAAAGCUUUCAUCCUUUUCUGACACUUAAAUUACCUAAACAAUGGAAUUGUUUGGAAUACCACUUAAAUCAGAUUGUUCAUUUUAAACUUCAUAACCAAAAUGGAAAGAAGAAAACUGCUCUUCUACAACACAAAACUCAUUUGAGCUUUUGGUCUCAAAUGUCAACUAAAACACUUGGUUCAUCACAAAGUAGGCUCAGUACUGUAGGGUUAAUGGCUCUGUAAUGGGAAACUGCGUGUACGAACCAUGGCGGAGAAUAAAACCCCACAGAGCUUUUCUGCUCCGUGAUGCAGCCAAGUGAAUUUUACAGUAAUGAUGAAGGAUACGUGAAACCAUCAGCAGUGGAACCAUUAAAGCCUCCCUGUAAACAUGUCCGUUUAAGUACAAUUAGAUCACAUUACAGCCGCGACGGAAGCGGAGAAAUUGAGUUUCAGCUGAAAGAUGACGGUAAUUGUUUCAUAAUUCUAUUGUUAAUAUCACAGGUGAAGCCUUUGAGCGCCGUGUGGAACAUCUCAUCCUAGUGGGUCCACACACUGAAAUGUGUGCGAUGCUAAGUCAGUGGCAUGAACAUGCAAAUAUGAGCCCUGUAAAAAGAGGGCGUUCACUAACCACUGCUUCCACUGAAGUUCACCUCUAUGGAGCUUUUUGUGUUGUGGGGGACAAUUCCGUAUAUGUAUGACUUUAUGAUGCUAUGAAUUGGCUAAUUACCUGUUCUGUAUAUUCUCACUGCGGUUGUGUGGUGUUGACUUGAAGUCAAGUGCAGCAAGUGGGCCACUGACAUUUGACCUAGCAAGUUAACAACAUGGUAAAGUCAAACAAAACCCACCAUUCUGAGGCAGAAUUGAACUACUCUGCAUGUCUGAAACGCAUCAUACCUUCAAGACCGUCGGGCCACGAUGAUGAGAUCCUUCAAAGAGAAGGCAACGCUCUCCCUCUGGUGUCCCAACGGUUCCACUGCAUCUUUAAGAAGAUUUACGGUACUAUUGCUACUUUGAUCAGGGUUGAUAAUGUUGCCCUGAGAGAAACAACCACUGAGGUAUCUGAACACAAUCAUUACAUUAUUCGAUUAUAAAAAUCAGGUCUAAUUGAGCAGUGUCAGGUGAGUAAGGGGAGAGAGAGAAAGAGACAGAGGGACGUGGAAAAAGAGAAAGAGCUGAGGGAUAAAUUAGGUUGCGAUGUGCCAGGAUGGACGAAUUACCAAGUAGGAGAAUAUAGCAAAGCGUCUCUGUCACUGGGCUUUAUGCACUAUGGAGAAGAAGAGAGACCCCAUUGUGUUGGGACUUUAAAUACUGGCCAGUACCCACUACAAGGACAAGACACUUGAUCAUGUCGAACUAGUCAAAUAAAAAUAAGUAUGUUUGCAUAUUAUCAUAAGGGGUUCGACAGAGAAACUUUGGGGACCACUGGUUUAAUGGAUGUUAACGAUACGCACCCGUCAUCACUUUUCAUAUAGACGCCAGGAUGUCUGCCUCCAUGUUCAGUUGUUUGUGUUGGCUGAUACGCUUUGAUUAGAAUUAAGUACACUGUGUCUUUUUAGGCGCUAAGAGUUUUUGUCAAUUUGUGUACAGAUGCCUUCAGACGUUGUUGACAGAACUGAUGUGUUUUCUUUGUUUUGGAUUUUUGGUUUCCUGUUUUUUGCCUCCCGUGUUCCUGUAUUGCCGUUCCCUCUUCGACAACAUGCCUCCUCUGAAUCAGCAUCAUUAGUCCUUCCCUGCGGCCACAGUUCUUCCGAGCCAAUCAGAUCCCUUCCUGCUUCUAAUGGUUUUACCGUUAAUAGGACUGUUGCCUUUUAUCUGCUCACCUGAGCUUAUUACAAUAUAUUCUUUCAAAUUCAUUGAAAGUGACUUCUGACUACACUGUUAUUCAAUGUGAGUACAGGAAUUCUGUCUAAAGUGAAUUAUUGGUAUUCUUAGAAUAAAUAGGCGACACGCUUGAGUUCAUUACAUUGAGGUGCCCUGUCUGAUCCUGGCUGAGCAGUUCCCUGUCAGAUUUGUCUGACUAUUUCCCAAGGUAUUGAGGGGUCAAAGUUCUUAGAAGCAAGUGCCGGUCAAUGAAACACUGAUUUAUUUCAAGCUGCCCAGCAACUCGGCUGCCAAAAGAUCCUGAGGCUCAGCUGGCCAAUAACUCAACAUCCCAGACACCAAGACCCCGAACCAAACCCAACCGAAGUCAGUCAUGUUGCAUCUGCUCAUAAAUGGGGGGGUCCCAGGCCUCAAUGUACCACAAACCAAACAUGUGUUGAAUAAGACUUAUAGAAUGCAUGUUAACUGAGGUAUUAGACAAGUAAGUAGGGUCAUUUUCUCGUAGACUUUGAUGUAAUCUGACUUCUUUCUUCAACCAAAUAACUGCUGGUGGCCAUUUGAAAGUGCGCAACCUUAAGCACUCACACAUUGGUUUCACUUAUCAAACCAAAUAUGGACAUCUGGUUUGUUCCAGAGGUGGAGGUCCCAGGAUCACGUCUCAUCUGCUCUCAUUCAUCGGCCCGUGACCACCCAUGGCUGGCUUCCUGUAUCGCAGCCUUUCAAAGUUGCUGUGCGGUUCAGAGUGCUGUUUGGAUGAUGUUUAAACCACCACCCUUCUUAUAGAAAAUUCAAUGAAAUGUUUGAAUAUUCCACACGUCCACAGAUACUCAUUUUAAUGAGUAAAAAAAUGUUCACGCUGCCAAGACAGUGUCGUUUCAAUCAGAGUUUACCAGCAGCAUGACUCACUUUGAGUAACUGGUCCCUGAACUUCGGUUUUAACCUCACUACACAGAUAGAGGGGAUCAAAAGGAGAGGACAACAUGCUUUACAGCUAUAUGUCGCCGCAUGAUAAUGUCUACAAGGGGACUGAUACAAAACCUGCAACUCUCUCAGCAUCUCCCAGGGAAUUUAAUUUCAAAUGUAUUUCUGCUUGGCUCGAAGAACUAAAGAUGUUUUUCCGCACAACGUCUAUGGAGACAUUUGCCAUCUGAAUGAGCCUCUGUGCGAGUUCACGCACAGUUCAGUCUGUGGUUUUCUUGGGCAUGUUUGCUGCACUAAAUCUUUUCUGCUGCACUUUUACAGCUUAUUAGAGAUACAAGAAAACCCAACUUGUGUGAGGAUGUUUUUUGUAGACAGAUGUAUGUCAGCUAUGGAAACAUUAUAGAAGAUUGAAUAAAAAAUGUUCGGCUCUUUGUCCCAGCUGCUGACAGUAACCAAAAAGUCUCAUGGUUUACUGCUGAGCAGUUUCACUGGAUUAAAGUUAACAAAGUUAAAACAACUUGAUUUUUGAAAAAAAUAGAAUUAACAAAUCUUUUAGCUGUUGGGAGAAUUCAAAUACAAUUCAGUUUAACGGAUAGAAGGUCGGUGACCUCUUGAACUGAGACAUGGUGUUCUUAUGAUAAACAGAUCGGCUCAAUAGCUCAAUCAAUUGAGGACUCAUGAAUGACAAUGCUAUCCCUCCCGUUUGGUGAUGAGGUGACCGGUGGAGAGCUGAACCAGCCUCUCCUCUCCUAAGUGUGUUCAUGUUUGUUCCGCUUUUUUUUUUGCAAGCAUAGAUUAAUGAAUUGACUUGUUGGACAUAACGUAGUCCGUCAAAUGAAGUGUUAAAACCUGCAUUAAAAUUCAAUAAGGAUUUUAAGCAUGAAGCAGGGAGGAAAAAGUAUGGGAAAUAGGGUCAUCUUCUAAAUAGGUAUCAUGUGGGAGCAUUAAACUGAAACUGUGGUUCAAGGGCCUGAGUUCUUUGUGUAAAAUCCUCAAUAAAAUGUAAUUCUCAAAUCAAGAAUGGAAAGUUUUUAUUGUGAGGAAGGUUGUUAUUGGAUUGUCUGUGAUUGAAUUACAGCUUUUUGUCAGUAAACCGGGUCAAGCUUUUGGUAGUUUAAAGUCAGUUCAAUAUAGGUUUUAAAUAGACAUUUAAAAGUAGAAUUUAUACAAGAAUGUUACAUGGAAAUUAAGCAUAAAGCCUCCUUUUUUGUCAGUGUCCGCUUUCCUUGGCACGUCAACCCUUUACAGCUCAAUGUAUCUUUAAGAUUUGACCUCUACAUCAUACACUUUCACAACAGCUGAUCUGAUGAUUACCUAAUGUGUUUUUGAACAGUAUUACGAUGGAGGUCAGCGUUUGUUUCUCGUGGCCCUUCUGUGGGUGUGACCCAAAAUGAUCCACAGCUGCCCGAGAUCAGUUUAAUGAGCGAAUGGUAAAUUGAACACUUUCUUGUCCAAAACCGUAAAAGAAGCCGGCUUCUCUGGUCCAGUGUCACUAAUCCAAAACCUUUGAAAUGCACCUUUUACGGAACCCCGUCUUGCUUAUCCACCACAUAAGAUCCAUUUAUGCGACAUUGAAUGGAAAGCGGUUUUCGGUGUCCCAGAUGUCUCUGAUCUUUGCUUUACUCUGCACUGCAUCUGUAUUCUGCCAUGUCUACACACACACACACACACACACACACACACACACACACACACACACACACACACACACACACACACACAGUGUAAGGCCCAAAGGAUUACUUAAGUGUAAUAAAUUGUUGGAAUCUGAGCACCCACUGUCUCAUUCCUAAUCUCAACCCCUUUGAUCUACCACAUGGUGGAAUGAGAGGAAUAUCAGCAGCCCUCCUGUAAGACGAAAACAUCCAAACUUCCCAAAAGCAAGACCGUAACUUAAAAAGGUAAAGUCAGUGCAUCCGCUCAGUUGCACUUCAGCGCUUUAGAUUUUGCGAGGGAACUUGUACCUCCAUUAGACUAUCCAAAAAAAAAGAAAACCAUAAAAAAUCUUAAUAAUUAAUUUCAGCUGAAAGUUAUAGCACCACUUUUGCUACAUUAGCAUCAGAGGAUUCCUCUGUAUCAGACAGGAUUCUGUCGCUAGCAGAAGAAUAAUUCUUGUGAUUUUGUGGUAAUGUAAAAAUGUAAUGAUUGUUAGCAAAUGUCGUAGUAAAAAUGUUUCUUAUCAUUGUGUGUGUGUGUGUGUGUGUGUGUGUGUGUGUGUGUGUGUGUGUGAUUACUCACGUUGUAGGGACAUACAUGUCUAAAACAGCUCAACAACUCUAGCACUGAUUCCCUGGAAACCUUACUCUGAGAAUGAGGGUCCAGGGAGUUACAUUGUCCAGCUGUUCUUCAAUAAAUAGUUUUAUCAUGUAACAACCACUAAAACUAACAAAUUAAAAUUGUAAUGUUUUGGUUGUUGAAUAUGAUUAUUCAGAUUCUGCGUUGCUGGUAAAAAUACUUUUUGUUCUUUCGCAUGGUUAGCAUGCGUGUUCGUAUCUCUUUUUGAUCUCCUUGACACUGAUUUACAGGCCUGCACUCAGUGUUUGGUAGCCAUGAUCCACAUCUGCACUGCAUAUGUCUGUUAGAAAACCCUCAGAUAAACUGUACAAAGGUCAACUUUGAUAUAAAACCUGCACAUUUGUUGGUUCAGAUUGAAAACCUUUCCUGUGGGAUAAUAUGCUGCAAAGCAGCUGCAACAUGGUGUUCAUUGUUGUAGUAUGCUGCUACAAUAACAGAUUUUUUUUUUUUGAUAGUGAGGUUCAAAUCAAAACUGGCUUUUCAAUCUGUUAUGAUAGCUCUGGAAUGUGGAAGUUGUCCUUCUUUGGAUGUUGAGUUGAGCAAUUGUAUUGCAACGUUAAUAAAAUUCUUUUAAUGAGAAUGUUUUGGUGUCUUGAUUUAAGACAAUAUCACUCAUAUUUGUUAUGCUGUUUUAAGAAAUUAUGUCUCUUUUUAAAUACUUUUAUGCUCAUUAUCAAUCCCAGAUUAAGGUGACAAUUCUUAAAUUUAAGUCAGUAACCA